AUGGCUCGGCCCGACGAGGUUUGUUUUUUAUGGUCACACAGACGGAUUGGAGAUGGGCAGAGGGCCGAGAUAUUGGCCAUGGAAGCGGCCGGGAUAAGAAAGCAUAUUAUAAUGGACAACUUCAUCAGCAGAUACGGUUCGUACGAUAAGUGCGGGCUUAUCAGGAGGGACAUUUACAAUCUUUGUUGCAGAGAAAAAAUGAGGCUCAUUGCAAAGGGUGAUGCAGAGACGGCAGUUGGCAUUAUGAGGAGUAGGAAGGAGAAGGACCCUGAGUUUUUUUUUUGA
rnacentral:rRNA from 1 species